rnacentral:rRNA from 1 species
GAUGAACGCUGGCGGCGUGCCUAAUACAUGCAAGUCGAGCGAACAGACGAGGAGCUUGCUCCUCUGACGUUAGCGGCGGACGGGUGAGGAACACGUGGAUAACCUACCUAUAAGACUGGGAUAACUUCGGGAAACCGGAGCUAAUACCGGAUAACAUGUUGAACCGCAUGGUUCAACAGUGAAAGACGGUUUUGCUGUCACUUAUAGAUGGAUCCGCGCCGCAUUAGCUAGUUGGUAAGGUAACGGCUUACCAAGGCAACGAUGCGUAGCCGACCUGAGAGGGUGAUCGGCCACACUGGAACUGAGACACGGUCCAGACUCCUACGGGAGGCAGCAGUAGGGAAUCUUCCGCAAUGGGCGAAAGCCUGACGGAGCAACGCCGCGUGAGUGAAGAAGGUCUUCGGAUCGUAAAACUCUGUUAUUAGGGAAGAACAAAUGUGUAAGUAACUAUGCACGUCUUGACGGUACCUAAUCAGAAAGCCACGGCUAACUACGUG